rnacentral:rRNA from 1 species
GGUAAAAGCCUACCAAGGCCACGAUCAGUAGCCGACCUGAGAGGGUGAUCGGCCACAUUGGAACUGAGACACGGUCCAGACUCCUACGGGAGGCAGCAGUGGGGAAUCUUCCGCAAUGGGCGAAAGCCUGACGGAGCAACGCCGCGUGAGCGAAGACGGCCUUCGGGUUGUAAAACUCUGUCUUUGGGGACGAUAAUGACGGUACCCAAGGAGGAAGCCACGGCUAACUAC